UGUUCCUUGUGCUCACCUGUACACUGUUCUUGAUGUUUCUAACGCAUUGAAUAUUUGCUUAAGGACAAUCGAUCGUGAUACCGAGAACAAAACAGCGUGCUUCAAGCUGGAUCUCCCAGUAGAUGACAAAGCUUGUUAUAUCAACGAACCUACCGGUUGAUUGCGAUUUACAGGUUUCUGCAGUCAGUGCGGGGAAUCCGAGCUGGAUCACAUUGAGAACACCUGGCUUGUCUUCGGACAGCUGGAUCAUGUACUCGAAUAGUGUCCUGUUCAAGAUAUUAAUAGGGACCGAUGGAGCUGUCAGUAUUCACAGACGAGGGGUGAAAUCCUUAGACUCUGUGAAGACUAACAACAGCGAAGGCAUUCAGCCAAGAGGCCUUCAUUAAUCAAGAACGAGAGUGCAGGGAUCGAAGAUGAUCAGAUACCGUCGUAGUCUGCUACUGUAAACUAUGCAAACUAGGGAUCAGUUGAUGGUGCAACACAUAUCUGUUGACUCUGUUGGUACCUCUCCUUCUUUUUAACGCGAAAGCUUAAGUCUUCGUGUUCAGGGGGGAGUACAGUUGCAAGGCUGAAACUUAAAGGAAUUGACGGAAUGACACCACAAGGCGUGGAUGCUGCGGUAUAAUUUGACUCAACACAGAGAAUGUUACCAGAUCAUGAGGUUGGAGGAUGACAG
rnacentral:rRNA from 1 species